GUGGGAGGAGAGAGUGCCCGGCCCCACAGCUGGCCCUGGCAGAUCUCCCUCCAGUACCUCAAGAACGACACGUGGUGGCAUACGUGCGGCGGGACCUUGAUUGCCAGCAACUUCGUCCUCACCGCCGCCCACUGCAUCAGCAACACCCGGACCUACCGUGUGGGCGUGGGAAAGAACAACCUGGAGGUGGAAGACGAAGAAGGAUCCCUGUUUGUGGGUGUGGACACCAUCUACGUCCACAAGAAAUGGAACGCCCUCCUGUUGCGCAACGACAUUGCCCUCAUCAAGCUUGCAGAGCACGUGGAGCUGAGUGACACCAUCCAGGUGGCCUGCCUGCCGGAGAAGGACUCCCUGCUCCCCAAGGACUACCCCUGCUACGUCACUGGCUGGGGCCGCCUCUGGAGGGGACUCCGGUGGCCCACUGAACUGCCAGUUGGAGAACGGCUCCUGGGAGGUGUUUGGCAUCGUCAGCUUUGGCUCCCGGCAGGGCUGCAACACCCGCAAGAAGCCGGUAGUCUACACCCGGGUGUCUGCCUACAUCGACUGGAUCAACGAGAAAACGCAGCUGUGAUUUGUUGCUGGGAGCGGCGGCAGCGAGUCCCUGCAACAGCAAUAAACUUCCUUCUCCUGGGGCCG
rnacentral:sRNA from 1 species